rnacentral:rRNA from 1 species
UACGUAGGGAGCAAGCGUUGUCCGGAAUCAUUGGGCGUAAAGCGCGCGUAGGCGGCCCCUGUAAGUCCGCUGUGAAAGUCAAAAGGCUCAACCUUUGAAAGCCGGUGGAUACUGCAGGGCUAGAGUCCGGAAGAGGCGAGUGGAAUUCCUGGUGUAGCGGUGAAAUGCGCAGAUAUCAGGAGGAACACCAAUUGCGAAGGCAGCUCGCUGGGACGUUACUGACGCUGAGACGCGAAAAGCGUGGGGAGCAAACAGG